rnacentral:rRNA from 1 species
GACGAACGCUGGCGGCGUGCCUAAUACAUGCAAGUCGAGCGCUGAAGGUUGGUUCUUGUACCAACUGGAUGAGCAGCGAACGGGUGAGUAACGCGUGGGGAAUCUGCCUUUGAGCGGGGGACAACAUUUGGAAACGAAUGCUAAUACCGCAUCAAAACUUUAAACAGAAGGUUUAAGUGUGAAAGAUGCAAUUGCAUCACUCAAAGAUGAUCCCGCGUUGUAUUAGCUAGUUGGUGAGGUAAAGGCUCACCCAGGCGAGGAUACAUAGCCGACCUGGGAGGGAGGACGGCCACAUCGGGAAUGGGAACAGGGCCAAGAUCCUAAGGGAGGGAGCAGGAGGGGAAUUUUGGAAAAGGAGGGAAGGCUGACCGAGCACCGCCGGGGGGGGGAAAGAGGUUUUCGGAUCGGUAAACUCUGUUGGUAGGGAAGAAAGUGGAUGAGAGUAAAAAGCUGAUCAAGUGACGGUAACUACACAGAAAGAAACGGCUAACUACGUG